rnacentral:lncRNA from 1 species
UUUCUUCUUUUUUCUUUUUUGUCUUUUUAGGCCCACACCUGCAGUAUAUGGAGGUUCCCAGGCUAGGGGUCGAAUCGGAGCUACAGCUGCUGGCCUACACCACAGCACAGCAACGCGGGAUCUGAGCCGUAUCUGAGAGCUAAAACCACAGCUCACAGCAACGCUGAACCUUUAACCCACGGAGCAAGGCCGGGGAAAGAACCUACAUCGUCAUAGAUACUAGUCAGAUUUGAUUCCACUGAGCCACAACAGGAUCUCCAAGCCUCCCAUUUUCAAGUGGGAUCCAGAACCCAAAAACAAUUCAGCAACAGGGACCAGGCAGUGGGACAGACUGCCCUGACACUUGGGCCACAUGAUCAGUGGAGGCUUUCAACCUUCACUCAGGUGUAGAGCUAGGAUGACUCAUCCUGUGGAUGUCAGCCAGUCUCCUCCUAAGCCACUCCAGUGGCGGAUAAUGAAUCUAGAAACAGAGUAAUCCUUGUGCCUGGCUCUCUCUCAACAAGGCUGACCAUUGAAAGCUCAAGCUGCAAACAAUGACCUUGAGCCCUUGAUAUGGCACCAUUCUUCAAGGACACCACCCAGACAUCCAGUGGCAGGUUGAUUAUAUCAGAUCCUCCUACCCCAGAAGGAGCAGAAAUUUGCUUUUCACAGAAUUGACAUUUACUCCACAUAUAUGUUUGCCUUUCCAGCCUGCAGUUCCUCCACCAGAGCCACUAUUAUUGAUCUACAGAAUGCUUGAUCUAUUAACAUGGUAUGCAGCACAACACUGCCUUAGUAAAAAAGAUCGCUUGUUAUGGAAAACAGGUGCAAAAAUGGAUACAUGACCACAAGAUCCUCUGGUCUGACCAUGUAUCCCAUUAUUCAGAAGCAACCAGCCUAAGGGAAUACUUUAUUGAGAAGUGUCAUCUGCAAUAAAGCUCCAUCUCAGAGUUAACACUCUGUUGGGGUGUGACAUUUUGCCCCAGGUUAUAGUAUAUGCAUUAACUAUGCCAAGGAGCAUAAACAUAUGUGAUAGCAUCAAGAUAUGUGAUGCUAUCUCCCCAAAAGCUACACUACAUGGCAUGGGGAGGAAUUGUACUGGGGGACUCACUCACUGAACUUGAAGCUGCCAGUACCUGCUCAACAACCAAUGGAUCACUGAAGAAAUUAAAGAGGAAAGCAAAAAAUAUCUAGAGAUAGGGACUUUGUAAAUGAACUAUACUUUAGUUAAAAAGGAGAAAAAUGAGGGACCAAAGGUGCAGGGGGGGAACCCACAAAAAUCCUAGAGACAACUGACAAUGAAAACAGGACAAUCCCAAGCCUAUGGGAUGCAGCAAAAGCAGUUCUAAGAGGGGAGUUUAUAGCAAUACAGUCUUAUCUCAGGCAAUAAGAAAAAUCUCAAAUAAACAAUCUAACCUUACACCUAAAGCAACUAGAGAAAAAAGAAUAAACAAAACCCAAACUUAGUAGAAGGAAAGAGGCUGUCACCACCACCUGAUUGCCUUGGGUUCCUCACGCUGAUGAACAGGGAGACUAAGAAAGGAAUGAUGAUACCAGCACAGGCGACUGACCCUGAGUGCCCACAAGGAGCUACUGUAGUACAGCUCAAGAAGGGAGGGGCAAGGCCGCAACCUAGGGAACCCACAGGGGCUCUUUCUGAUGGGGAGUGAGGACUGCUGUGAUCACUGGCUGGCAAGGACAAGGCUGCCAAAGCUUAGACUGUCCGGAGAUGAGUAUCUGAAUCACCCUGAGUGAAAGAAGCAAAGGGGGUAAAAACCAAUAAACACAUCAGUGGUUUCCAUCCCUCUCCACUCCCCAGAAUCUGAGCUGCCCUGAGUGAAUCUGAGCUGCACCUUAUAUGGCUUUGCAGGAAGUCUCGCCGAAUCAAGCAGAUGGGUGCUUAUAGCUGAAGGCCUGCUCCAACAUUCCUUCUUAAUGUGCUCUCCCGCCUUUCCUUCUCCACUCGCCCACCCCUUACUCUUGGCCUCCGCAAGGACCCUCCACAGGAAAGUUUUGGCACACAGGCCUCCAUCUUAGGCUUUGUUUUCUGGGAACCGAGGCCAAGGCAGAUACUAUUGUUACUUCCAUUUUAUAAAUGUUGAUCAAUUAGCUGUCCAGGGUUACACAACUAUUGAAUAGUGCAACCAGGACUCAGCCCCAGUCUGCCCGACACCGAAGGCUGUGCUCUAAGUUGCUGUCCAAUAGAACUUUCUGAUCAUGAAAAUGUUCUCUAACUGCACUACCACACGGGGUCACCACCAGCCACAAGUGGCUUUGAGAUUUGAAAUGUAGUUAGUGCAACUCAGGAACUGAAUUUUUAUUUUAUUUAAAUAAUUUUAACAACAUUCAAUAGUAGGAGUUCCUGUUGUGGCUCAGUGCGUUAAGAACCCAACUAGUAUCCAUGAGAAUGCAGGUUCAAUCCCAGGCCUUGCUCAGUGGGUUAAGUAUCUGGCGUUGUCACAAGCUGUGGUUUAGGUCACAGAUGCUGCUUAGAUCUGGCAUUGCUGUGGCUGCGGCUCUGAUUCAACCCCUAGCCUGGGAAUUCCCAUAUGCCUCAGGUGCAGCUCUAAAAAGAAGAAGAAAAAAAAUGUAUAAGAACUUUUCAUAGAACAGUUAACCACAUGGCAGGAGAAACCAAUUCCAGGAGGCUGUUGGCAGUGAUGGGUUAGAUACAAAAUAAUAGAAAUAAUUUACAAAGGAAAAUAAAGUUACAGUUCUGGUAAUCACAUAGCUUUUUCAAAAGAAGAGAAUGUUUCAGACCCAUAAACCUGUAGUCCUGCACAUUCACCAUGGAAACAGGUUUGGGUUACUAACCAGAGGCAUGUAAACACAAGGUCAUAAAAAAUAGAUGACACUAAAGCUAUGCUCUUUUUAUUACUUUAGGAAAUUUAAAACGGCUCAUUUUAUAUGCAUUACCCUAUUAACAAAUGCUUUCUGAAUACUCACUGUGUGUUCAUCACUGUGCUGGCCCCAGGGAAUAGAAAGAUCAGUGCAAACUGGCCCAGGUCCUCCAGGCUGAAGUGAUAGCAUACCAUGUUCGACACGUAUCCCAGGUAACAUGAGACAACUGUCAGACUUCCAGUACAGCUGCCUUGUCCUGGGCUGCCUCAAGGGCUGGACAGCGGGACAGAGCAGUGAUGGGGAGGUGUACUGUCCAGGCUUCGAGGGCAUGGCCAACUGGUUAGGUCACGGUCUAUAGCAGGAGUUGGGCUGAAGGCCCGAGUGAUAUUAAUAGAAAAGUUCUAGGCUCUUGUUUGAAGCAAGGUGAGAUUUAGUGGCAGCUCAACUCAACCCAGUUCCUGAGGCUCCUAUCUAUGGAAGUAGAAGCUGGAAAAAGUGCAUGUGUCCUGCUCUAUCCUAGCUCCUAGGUGGGGACUUUUGGCAGCAGCAUCCUGAGAUACUCAGCUGGAGCUCAGGCUGGACCAUCACCUGAUCUCCCUUCAGAAGAAAGGGCUGGUUGUAUCUGAUUUCCCUCUGGCAAUGGGUGAGUCCUCCUUGGCCCAGGAACACUUGAUGUGGUUUCAUCCAGUAGCUCAGCAUCAUUGAAGGGACUGAGUUUUACUGGAGAGGUUAAGGCUUCCCUCUUGGCUCAUUCUUGGCAGCUUGUCUUAGGUCUUCGGGGUUCUUUGGAGCAUGAUCCUCUGAUGAGAUUGGGGCUGGAGGCACCUGUCUGAGGUACACCUAGUGGCAUCCGUGAAUGUCCACCAAAGGAAGAGAGACCUGCGGAAGGAGGGGAUCAAGAAAGACCUCCCAGAGGUGGACAUGACAGUUUGGAGAGCGGAUCACAUGGCGGUCUGGGUGAACGGAGUCCCUGGAGUUGAGCAGUGCACAACCUGCGUAGCUGUAUAUGCUGUCCCUGUGGAUAGGCGGAGAAGAAGAUUAUGCAUUCCAAGAGGUGAAGACAAUGUGAGGAAAGACCCUGAAGCUCUCAUUUGAUUCACAUUCAUCUUACCCCUUUAUCCCAAGGAAUAUUUAUAAAAUCAGAGGCAUUUUCAUCUUGUUAUUGCUUCAUUAACUCCCUCUACAUCUCUGGAGGACGACUUUGUGACAAGUAUUAUUCCCCUCUCAGCAACCUCAGUAGAAGAUAUCAAAAGUAGCAACCUGGGAUCUGAGAGUGAAUUAUUGGCAGAGAUGGGAAGUCAGAGCGUCCCCAUCCUUGGGUUUUAGCUCCUUUCCAGUCCUGCCUUAGAUUCUAUCCCUUAUGUUUCAAAAAACCAACCUGAUUUUUUUGAGGGCGAUGAAAGCUAAGUACAUGGGCCAUGAGUGCACUCCUCUAAACAAGGGCCAAAUUUGGAAGAAAAAAUUUAAAAAUCACUUAUCCUUGUGCAGUGAGAAACUGAAGUUGCUCUGAAUGCCAAGAGAAAACAAUGCAGAGAAAAUGGAUGGGGUUACUGGAACAUGUUCAUAAAUUUAUGCAGUAAAUGUGCUGUGCCUUCUCUGAUUGGCAAACGCCUGCUAUAAGGCAAUAUUAAGGUAUGGCAAAAUCUAAGUUCACGUAACACUUCUCCACCACCAUGCUAUCUAGAUUUAUUGCCUGAAUUUUUACGGGGUUUUAAGUGACUUUUUCUUGACAUUAAGUAUUCAGCAGGUAACAGUUAAUUUGUCACUUUAAUCUUGAAUUGUUUCAUAUUGCAAUACAUGACAGGAGUUCAGAGGGAAGAGAAAGUGUGAUAAGGAUUUGUGCGCAAGUAAGAGGAUGGGGACACCAGAAGGGGGAAAGUCAAUGUUUUCCUGAACCUCUUGCAGUUGAAAUGAUGAAAUGCUGUGUAUCAAGGCUGUCGGGGAAGUCAUUGGAAGUGGGGGAGGGGAGGUUCUCACCACGUCACCAUUCUUUCCUGUUAACCAGGAGGGGACUAGAUGCUGGUCCUUCCUUACUAUACAUGGGAGAAAUUAAGGCACCAAAGCAAGUUUGACAUGGUUGGCAAAUAACCCUGGGUGCUGGAUGAUGAGUCCCUGGGAGGCUGACGAAAUUACGCUGUCUUUGUGUAUAUGUGAACACAUCCAAAAUACAAAGGAGAAUGGGAAACCCAAGAAAGGAACAUGAACCAAAAAAGGGGGACACAAUCAGCUCAUUUCACCUCCACGACAGGAGGUGACCCUGAGCCGGACCGCCUUUUUCUCUCCCAGGUUGAUCCCGCGUGUCACCUGCACGCUUUGCUGUGCUCUUCCCCCAGGCCUUUCCGAGUCACACAGUUCAGCACUGUCAUUGCAAACUAGGACUGAGUCUCUUUUAAGACUGUAGGGAGGGAGAAGCCUUAGAAACAAUAACCAUCACAGUGGAAAAGAAUCAUCAUUGCCAAGUUUUGAGCUCUUACUGAUUUCUAAGCCUGUGAAUACACCAUCCCAUUAAAUACCCUGACAAUCUUCUGAAGGAGGGGAUUGGCCCCAUUUUCCAGGUAGAGAAGCUGAGGCUGAGAGAGCUGAAGUCCACGUCUAAGGUCACAGAGGAAGGCAGAACUGGUGUUAGAACCGGGUCUGUUGCCCCUGAAGUGCCUGUUUAACUCCUAUGUUGAAGACUAGCUAGAGGAGAGGUCACAGGAGACUCUGGAGGCUGACUGUCAGGCUCACCUCCACUUUCCAUGUGGGUUCAGAAUCAUCAUCCCACCCAGGAUCCAAAAGCAGCAGCAUAGUUUCAGGCCGCCGUCCUCCCCACUACUCACACAGGAAUCUGCGAUGGGAGGACAGGGGAAGGAGGUGGAUACGGAUGACACCGAGGACGAGGGCUUCCUCGGGAGAGGUUUCAUCAGGACAGUAUCCUAAGUGGAGUUUGUCCUGAAGCUGUGCUGGGCUCUCAGCUGCAGGCCAAGCUGAAAGAGAAGCAGCCACAGAUAAGUAGGGCUGGGGUUGACCUGUUAACUUUGUGUCUGGGUGGCCCUCGAGGAAGAGUAGCCAGUGGUCUUAGUCCCAAGGCAGGAGGAAGGAAGGGAUACAAGCAGGCAACCCCCAAGGUCCAAGGGCCAUAGCAAAUUCAGACUUAGUCUGGGGUGGCAUAAACAAGUAGGGGUGUAGCCCACUGGGUGAGGCACGUCUGCAGAAGUUUCUAUGGUGCUGAGAUGCUUGAAGGUAGAAAAAUGGCACACUCAAGGUUCAAGAAAUCCAUCCUUAUCAGAGCCCAACACUAGGUAGGUGAUUUCAUAAGUGCCAGAUAGGCUAUCAAGGCCCAAGUCAAAAUGUCUGAGGUUCAGAGCAUGACUCUUGCCCCAGUAGAAACGCUAGAGUUCACAUCAAUAACCAAGUUCACCUGGGCUUAAGACUGGUCCCUGAUUAUCCUUCCUACUCUGCCCCACCCAAUACUAUGGUUGACAGAGUGGUUCUAGGAAGCACUAAAAUAAAACCCACUGUAAUUUCCCCCAAAGGAAAGGUCCAUUUGUUAAUUAGCCUUUUCGUGUCUGCAGUUUCUAACGCAAUGCCGAGGCCAGAGUGGGUCCACAAAGAUGUCUGUCAAAAGAAUGAGAGGGGUGUUCCCAUCCUGGCUCAGUGGAAAGGAAUCUGACUAGCAUCCAGGAGGACUCAGGUUUGUUCCCCGGCCUUGCUCAGUGAGUUAAGGAUCUGGCAUUGCUGUGAGCUGUGGUUGAGGUCACAGACUCAGCUCCGAUCUGGCGUUGCUGUGGCUGUGGUGUAAUCCCAGCAGAUCAGGCCUAUGGCCGGGCUCAGUUCCAGGAAUGGACUCGACUCUCUACUUACUCAGGACUUGAAAGGUCAUCACAGAAAACAGCAGAUCAGCUCUCCAGACCUGAUUUAAUUUGGGGAGGGGGAUCAUCAGUGUUUGUCUUAAGAGCCCUGUGAUGGAUGUGCAUUACCCAGGUCCCCUUGAGAGUGAGUUUUCCUAGUUUACUAUUCUUUGCUUAUUACAGUCCGGUCAGCCCAGGUCUGGACUGUACAUGUUAGUUUGUAAGCCGAGGGAACUCCAGAGGGCUAAUUCCAAAUGCCCACUCUUCACUGACUUUGAUAAGGCCACAAGAAAAGCCAUUUCCCAUUUCUCUGUCUUGGGGCCUUUGUCUAUUAAGGAGAAACAAGAAUAACCUAGUGACUUUUAUGACUGGGGGGAAACAUAUUCAAAUUGAGAGAUUUGAGAUUGUCAAAGUCUGCAAAACAGGGCACGUGCACGAAAUUGACAUGACCACAUGUUUCUUGCUGCGAAUUUCAAACACAGCAAUGGUGGGAAAAUCUUUUCUGACAGAUCGGUAGCUGUGGGCUUAACUCUUGCCCUUGAUUUAUCUUGUCUUUAAGGAUAGUGAGCAUCUCUGCCCUUCCAUGUUUAAAAUAAGAAGGAAGCUUCAAGGAUGGACUCCAGGGUUUGAGAGUUUCAACUUAUGAAAAAAUCAUGUCUCCAAACGGCAGAACCACAGAACUACCACUCGUGAUUCCCUUGGAGAAGGAAAUGCUAUUACAGGUUAAAGGACGAACUUGCAAUGGAAGGGCAGCAAG